CUCCUAAAUAAACCAUUUUAAUUUCCCAUGUGAGGCAAUCUCACCUUAGUGGCUUAAUCCCCGUUCUCGCAUGGUGCAACAAAUGGCCGGACGCAACAAUCUGCCUCCCAAUACUUUAAAACACCGCCAAGUUCCAGUCGAUGACCCUCGCCUUCAUAACCGAGUCCCUCGACUCCACCAUCCAUCAACCAUCCUCGAAGACCGCAUCGCUAUUCAGCACAGGGAGAUUCAAACCCUCCUUCUCGACAACCAACAGCUCACAGCCACUCACCUUGCAUUAAAGCAAGACCUCGCUCUCGUUGACGAUGAAUUAAGACACUUAUCAGCUGCCGCAGCUGAUGUAAAGGCCCAGAGGGACGAUCAGGUGCGGGAGGUGUACGAGAGAUCACUGAAAUUGGAUGCGGAGGUGCGGUCAAUCGAUGCAUUGAGAGCGGAGCUUGUUCAGGUUACGGCAGAUGUAGAGAAACUUAGUGUGCAUCGUCAGGAACUUACUGCAGAGUUGCGUGCAAUUAAUAGCGAUGUUGCUAAGGCAAGAACGGAGGCACAGCAAGUGGCAGCAAUUGAAGCUGAUAUACAGACCAUGCAAAAAGAAAUUCAAAGAGGAAGGGCUGCCAUUGAAAAUGAGAAGAAGCUGUAUGCUAGUAAUCUUGAGCAUGGUCAGACAAUGGAGCAAAAUAUGAUUGCGGUAGCUCGUGAGAUUGAAAAAGUUCAUGCUGAACUGGCUAAUUUGGAGAAAAGAGAAAGGGCAGAAGCUGCUGCAGCAAUAGCAGCAAACCCAAGUCCUGGAUAUGCUGGAAGCUACAGCAAUCCUGAAGUUAGUUAUGGAGGGAAUCUGGGCCCUGAUCUUUAUGCCAUCCAUCAGUUUCACUAAGAUUUUGACUUCAGUUGGAGCUGAACCGUCCAGCUUAAUUUGCCUGUUAUACGCGGAAGAUAAAAAUUUAAUGGAAGUUAGCGAUACUGGGAAGGAGCUGUGGUACAAGGUGGAACUGAUGCUGGUCCCCAGUUUGCGCCUGGAUGAAUAUGUCUAGUUGUCAGCUCAAUGACCACUUGCAUUUAAGUAGACUAGUUUUUAAUCUACACAGUACGUGAAUGUUAAUUGCUGGAUUCGUUAUAAUUAAUUUAUUACAUAUAUUCUUUUUUA